GUGAGCUCCUUUCUUCAAAUUCAAGUCUUGCUCAGACCCUAUACAGGGGUUCUCCUCAGGGGAUGUUGUAUUUGAAUAAAUUCUAUUGUUCUGGUGAUAAUUGUCAACCAGGUUCCAGUUCAAGUUUUGCUAGUAAUCCACAGUGCUUCAAUGGUCAACUGGAAACUGUUGUAAGAUGCUCUAAUAGAAAGUCUUCUAUUAGUUCUGCAGUUGUCGUUGGAGACAUUGUUGGUGUAUUGGUUGCAUUCGUAGCGACAGUAUUUUUUUGUUGUCAUAAUAGUAGUCAUUUUUAUAGUCAUCCAUUAUAAAAGGAUGCAUAGACAUGAUGGUUCAUUAAGAGUUAAUGAUGAAGAUAUUUAUAUAGACUGAUAUUGUUUGUUUUUGAAAGUAUUUUGAAUAGUUUUUAUGUA